AUUGGAAGGGGAAAGACACACACCCCUGUCUACAUCAGUGGAGCUGAGGUGGAGCAGGUGAAUAGUUUUAGGUUCCUGAGAAUCAGCAUCACAGAGAACCUGUCAUGGUCAUCUCACAUCUCCACGCUGGUUAAGAAGUCUCAGAAACUGCUGUAUUUCUUAAGGAAAUUUAAGAAGGCAAAAUUUCCGUGCCAAGUUCUUAUAAACUUGUUUGUGUACAGAUUAAACAAAUGACAUAGAAGGUGUUAAUCAGUGAGCUUUAGAGGUGUUGAACUUGCUUCAAGUCUUUAUGUUAAGCUAAGCUAACUGGCCGCUGGCUGCAGCGUCAUACUUAUUGUUGAGAAUGGUAUCGAUCUUGUCAUCUAACUCUCAGAUAGAAAGCAAAAAAGUUUAUUUCUCAAAAACUAUUCAUAUAAGGCUGUUAUCAUAUCAGUUGAUAUUGUGAUUUAGUGGUGCUUAUUAAAACUUAUUAAAAUGAUCACAAACCAACUGAAACACAAAGAACCAGGUGUUAUUUUGCGUUUUCUGGAGGUCUGGUUUAUAAUCCAGCCUUGGGAUGAGCCCAUGACUGGUGAACUGAACUUGAUGAGUAAAAUCUGUAAAGUGCCUUUUUAAUGUGCCUCUUAUAAUGAACACUGAAUAGAACCAUGUACAAUCAUCUCUAGAAGUAGUGAAUGCUCAUAUCUAUAUAUAGACUCAAAAGACUCAAAAGUCUGUUUACUGUAUUGUACUGUACUGUACUGUUCCAGCUGUGCGUAUCUACUGGAACAGUGGGCAGGUUUGUGGUACAGAGAUUAGUGUUAUUGUCCUCCCACUCAAGAGCUAUAAAACUUCCAUGGCUUUGACAAACUACUCUAAUCUGACUAAAAUGAGCAACCAGUAAUAACAACAAUUUAAAGCUUGUGUAUAUUCUGUUUUUAGAUUCUGUUUAAUUAUGUUGGGUAGAAACCUGCAAGAUAAUGCAUCCUACAGGACACAUGAAUGGUAGUUUUCAUUGUACCCGCUAAUAAUGACAACAAGCCAAAGAAGUAAUUAAAGUUGGACAUGUAAUUAUGAAACAAUGUUUUCAUUUAAGUUUGGCGAAGACAAUGACGUUGCUGAAGAGGAACAGGUGUCUCUCCUUGGUCUUCGAGCCCUCAGUUACCUGAACACACUCGUCCAGCAGCAGGUCUCCGUUCUCACUGGUGAGGCCGAGGACGAAUGGACUCUGCUCCACAGAGACCCAGCAGGAAGCCUCCUCCCUGAGGGAAAGGACGCACACAAAAAAAAUGUUGGGUGGCCAACCCAUAGCCAUACCAGUCUAAUUUUGGUGUGAUAUUGGAACCCACCAAACAUCAGCAAUGAUACUGUGCAACAACUCAAAAGGCAGAAGUUACUGCAGUUGUGCUUUGGUGGCUGAUUCAUGAAGAACAGAUUCAUAAAGAGUGACCUUUAGAAACCCACCAUUUGUUUUGUAAAAUAAACAUAUUCACUGACUGUAAUCAAUAGUCUCCUACACUGUGAUCCUUCCCUAAAUGCCACAGAGCGAGUGGAAUCAUGUUUUCAACUGAAGACAAAUGACAGACCCGUGUGUAAAGGCAUCACCUACCCCGACGGAUCAAUGUCACGUCAACAACCUGAUUUGAUUCCAUCACGGAGGAACACACUAGUAUU